GAGGGUAUAGCUCAGUGGAAGAGUGCAUGCUUAGUAUGCACGAGGUCCUGUGUUCACUCCCCAGCACCUCCA
rnacentral:tRNA from 1 species